AUUUGUUGCUAGGGGUGCCAUUUGAGCUGAAAGAAACGAUUUGUUUUAACCCUUUGAACCUGAUUUGGUUAGUACCAACGUAGGGAAGCAUGACACAUAUCUA
rnacentral:ncRNA from 2 species